rnacentral:pre_miRNA from 1 species
UGAGGUAGUAGAUUGUAUAGUUGUGAGGUUGUACACCUCCUCUGAGAUAACUAUGCAAUCUACUGUCUUUC